UGCGUACACAACUAAAAUUGUUUUUAUUUUUGUAGAUUGGUUUUUGUGUUUGUUACCUACAGCGUCUUACACAGAGAGUAACAGUAGAAGCUUUCUUUAUAUUCAUUGUCGACUUCGUUGUUGUAACAUAUUUCACGAACAUUGAUUUUAAAUUUUACAUGGCGUCACAUUUAUUUAUACCGGGGUCCUUUAUAGCUUACUUUACAGGAUUGGUUCUGCUCAAUAUAUUGUCAAAUUAAUACAAAUACCUACAGUAGCUCGAAUGUUCACCGUUUCUCUAGGACAAAUGGCGUUUUGGCGAUCAUACCCUGUCUCUUUGUUGUUAUGUUUACAUAACUGAUUAGAACAAUAAAAC
rnacentral:lncRNA from 1 species